rnacentral:rRNA from 1 species
GAUGAACGCUAGCUCCAGGCUUAACACAUGCAAGUCGCGGGGCAGCAUGGGGGUUGCUUGCAAUCCCCGAUGGCGACCGGCGCACGGGUGAGUAACGCGUAUCCAACCUGCCCUUCACCACGGGAUAACCCGGCGAAAGUCGGACUAAUACCGUAUGUUGUCCAUUGACGGCAUCCGAUUUGGACGAAUGGCUUGGCGGUGAGGGAUGGGGAUGCGUCCGAUUAGCCAGACGGCGGGGUAACGGCCCACCGUGGCUACGAUCGGUAGGGGUUCUGAGAGGAAGGUCCCCCACACUGGAACUGAGACACGGUCCAGACUCCUACGGGAGGCAGCAGUGAGGAAUAUUGGUCAAUGGGCGUAAGCCUGAACCAGCCAAGUAGCGUGCAGGAUGACGGCCCUAUGGGUUGUAAACUGCUUUUAUGCGGGGAUAAAGUGGCCCACGUGUGGGCUUUUGCAGGUACCGCAUGAAUAAGGACCGGCUAAUUCCGUG